UCCUACGGGAGGCAGCAGUGAGGAAUUUUGCGCAAUGGGGGAAACCCUGACGCAGCAACGCCGCGUGGGUGAAGAAGGCUUUCGGGUCGUAAAGCCCUGUCAGGUGGGAAGAACCGUUUCGAUACUAAUAAUGUCGAAGCCUGACGGUACCACCAGAGGAAGCACCGGCCAACUCCGUGCCAGCAGCCGCGGUAAUACGGAGGGUGCAAGCGUUGUUCGGAAUUAUUGGGCGUAAAGAGCGUGUAGGCGGUCCGGUAAGUCAGAUGUGAAAGCCCUGGGCUCAACCCAGGAAGUGCAUUUGAAACUACCAGACUUGAGUACGGGAGAGGAGGGGGGAAUUCCCGGUGUAGAGGUGAAAUUCGUAGAUAUCGGGAGGAAUACCAGUGGCGAAGGCGCCCCUCUGGACCGAUACUGACGCUGAGACGC
rnacentral:rRNA from 1 species